GAUGAAGAACGUAGCAAAAUGCGAUACUUGGUGUGAAUUGCAGAAUCCCGCGAAUCAUCGAGUUUUUGAACGCAAGUUGCGCCCGAAGCCAUUCGGCCGAGGGCACGUCUGCCUGGGUGUCACGCAUCGUUGCCCCCCCAAACUCCGGUUCGGGCGGGGCGGAAGUUGGCCUCCCGUGCGUGCCUGCGCGCGCGGUUAGCCCAAAAGCGAGUCCUCGGCGACGAGCGCCACGACAAUCGGUGGUUUUUUUACCCUCGUUCCUCGUCGUGCGUGCCCCGUCGCCCGAACGCGCUCUUGCGACCCUCACGCGUCGCCUCGGCGGCGCUCCCAACGCGACCCCAGGUCAGGCGGGACUACCCGCUGAGUUUAAGCAUAUCAAUAAGCGGAGGA
rnacentral:misc_RNA from 1 species